GAUGAACGCUGGCGGCGUGCUUAACACAUGCAAGUCGAGCGGAAAGGCCACUUCGGUGGUACUCGAGCGGCGAACGGGUGAGUAACACGUGAGUAAUCUGCCCCUGGCUUUGGGAUAGCCACCGGAAACGGUGAUUAAUACCGGAUACGACCACUUCUCGCAUGGGAUGGGGGUGGAAAGUUUUUUCGGCCAGGGAUGUGCUCGCGGCCUAGCAGCUUGAUGGUGAGGUAAUGGCUCACCAUGGCUUCGACGGGUAGCCGGCCUGAGAGGGUGACCGGUCACACUGGGACUGAGACACGGCCCAGACUCCUACGGGAGGCAGCAGUGGGGAAUAUUGGACAAUGGGCGGAAGCCUGAUCCAGCAACGCCGCGUGAGGGAUGACGGCCUUCGGGUUGUAAACCUCUUUCAGCAGGGACGAAGCGCAAGUGACGGUACCUGCAGAAGAAGCACCGGCCAACUACGUGCCAGCCGCCGCGGUAA
rnacentral:rRNA from 1 species